rnacentral:lncRNA from 1 species
GAAGAUGCAGAUGAAAUCUGUGCAUAUUCCAGAGCCUUUUGACAGAUUCCAGAGGAAUGUUUGCUUCCUCUAUUUUAUUGACUCUCAUUAUUGGCGAUAUCAUGAUUGGUAAUAACAGACUACUGUGUAGAUUCUCGAGUCUCACAAUUCUUACUCUUCUCGCCAGGUGUCAUGGAGAUGUUAAACAGCUGUCCUGUAUCUUUGCUGGCAAGCUGGGUGCUUACAGACCUUGAACUGAAUGAGCACCACAUCUUGCUACAGCUGGUCCAGAGCUGUGCAAGCAGCUAUUGAGCCACCAGCAGUCCAGUUACAUCACGCAAUGGGGUCCUGUCCCCAGGACCCACUGUUUGCUCCUGUCCCUGUUCUGCCCCCUUGCUUGGGCUGCUGCAGUGCCCCAGGCUCACCCUGUGAAUCGGACCAGGUGACUGACACAGGUUAGUUACCCUCUUUCCCUUCUUUUUCAAUGAUUUAUAGCCCAAGGCAGCUCCCUGAUUCUGUUAUGGACAAAAGCCCACAAAGCAGGGUGCAGUACAACUUGAAGUAGUACUGCUCCCCUCAAAGGCCCCGAAAAGGGCAAGGUUAGGCAUCACAUCAGACCUCCAAAGGUUGAUGUCUUGCUGCUCUGCUAUCCUUGUGACCCAGUGCUCCCGGGGCUGGGUCAGAAAGCCAACUGUGCAGGCACUGGGUUUGGCUUCCGGCCAUUUAGCAGCCUUGGCUAUUCAGAAAAGAGCCUGAUGAGUGGUAAGGGCACCAUGAGGAAGGAGAAGGAGUGGAUGGGGCAGCAUCUCCCCCUUCCCAAAGAGGUGAUGGGAUUGACUGUCCUAUAAGACGUGAUUUGCCCCGUGGUUACCUCAAGCUUCUGAAGAUCCCACCCACCAUGCUUCUGUCUCCAGUUUUCUUUCACUCUUUUUCCUGUAUCUCUCUCCCCCCUUGUGUUCCUGUAUUUUGUUGAGUUAAACACAGUACUCAAAGACUCUAAAAUGUUCAUAGCACUCGUGUAAGACUGUGGCUUGCUGUUUACAGGGUAUGGAGGUACAGCACUUGGGUUAUUGACAAUAAUUUAUUUGGAUUAACAAAUCUACAAUUGAGAACACAAUAAUGCUGUUUGUGUUCAGCAGACUCUCAGAGAAACAAAGCAUAAGAACAAAGGGUUUUGGUUAAGCCUUUAAGGGUUUUAGGACAUACACUACACCUCAAAGGAGACAAUACUUAAGUGGUCCCAUGGACAUAUGCCAAACACCCAGAUUAUCUGAUAACAAAAACUCUUAAGAGCAUGGACCAGGGGAUUUCCUGGGGAAGUGGAGCAAUUAGGAGGGGGAAGAUAUGCAUCACUGUUUCAAAUGGACCUGUUUUACUAUGGAAAUAACACUUCCCUAGAGAGCUGGCAAUAGAAAAG